AGCACUUUGACUUAUUGUUUUUAUGUUGAAUGCGGGACUUGUAACUGACAUGUAAUUCGUAACUCUACAACACUGUUUUUCUACUUUUACUGCAAUGCAUGAUCUGAGUAAGUCUUCCACCUCUGUAAAUCACCAACAACAGUCGUGCAUGAAUAGCUGCACCAGUGUUCAACACUGAAAACACAGCUCAGUUCAGCGUUUACUUGCUGAGGGCUAUUUCACAAAACCAAGAUAAGGGAUUAAGCCGGGAUUUCCCAGUUAUCUUGGCUCAAUUUCGCCUUGACUCGCAGAGGCACCUAAGUUACCAU